rnacentral:rRNA from 1 species
CCUAGCCUACGGGGGGCAGCAGUAGGGAAUCUUCCACAAUGGGCGAAAGCCUGAUGGAGCAACGCCGCGUGGGUGAAGAUGGUCUUCGGAUCGUAAAACCCUGUUGUUAGAGAAGAAAGUGCGUGAGAGUAACUGUUCACGUUUCGACGGUAUCUAACCAGAAAGCCACGGCUAACUACGUGCCAGAAGCCGCGAUAAUACGUAGGUGGCAAGCGUUAUCCGGAUUAAUUGGGCGUAAAGGGAACGAAGGCGGUCUUUU